ACGGGGACCCGCACAAGCAGCGGAGCAUGUGGUUUAAUUCGAAGCAACGCGAAGAACCUUACCUAAACUUGACAUACCAAUGACAGCCUUUUAAUCGAGGACUUUUACCUUCGGGUAGACAAUGGAUACAGGUGGUGCAUGGUUGUCGUCAGCUCGUGUCGUGAGAUGUUGGGUUAAGUCCCGCAACGAGCGCAACCCUUGUCGAUAGUUACCAGCAGUAAGAUGGGGACUCUAUCGAGACGGCUAAGGACAACUUAGAGGAAGGUGGGGAUGACGUCAAAUCAUCAUGCCCCUUAUGUUUAGGGCUACACACGUGCUACAAUGGUCAUUACAGAGAGAAGCGAAACUGCGAAGUCAAGCAAACCUCAAAAAGAUGAUCCAAGUUCGGAUUGUAGGCUGAAACUCGCCUACAUGAAGUUGGAGUUGCUAGUAAUCGCGAAUCAGAAUGGCGCGGUGAAUGCGUUCCAGGGUCUUGUACACACCGCCCGUCACACCAUGGGAGUUUGGGGGGCCCAAAGUCAGCGACUCAACCGCAAGGAGAGAGCUGCCCAAGGCAAAACAAAUGGCUGGGGUGAAGUCGUAACAAGGUAGCCG
rnacentral:rRNA from 1 species